CGGAGUAAGCCCAGGCUGAUCACUCUGCGUCC
rnacentral:piRNA from 1 species